GUCGCGGGAAAUUCAAUAUAUAAGAGCUCUCGUCUGUUGCAAGAUAUAAGUUACUGAGCAUGCUAUGUUGGAAAGAUAGCAUGCUGGAGUAAUAAUGAAUUGCGGAACGCCUUAGGCUGGAAACAGAGCAGGGUUAGCAAUCGCUUGUAUACGGUGCAAAGUUUGCGAUGAGCGAUUAGUAUAUCUCGAAUCUCGUC
rnacentral:SRP_RNA from 1 species